ACUUGCUCUCUGGGUGACGAGCGGCGGACGGGUGAGUAAUGUCUGGGAAACUGCCUGAUGGAGGGGGAUAACUACUGGAAACGGUAGCUAAUACCGCAUGACGUCGCAAGACCAAAGUGGGGGACCUUCGGGCCUCACGCCAUCGGAUGUGCCCAGAUGGGAUUAGCUAGUAGGUGAGGUAAUGGCUCACCUAGGCGACGAUCCCUAGCUGGUCUGAGAGGAUGACCAGCCACACUGGAACUGAGACACGGUCCAGACUCCUACGGGAGGCAGCAGUGGGGAAUAUUGCACAAUGGGCGCAAGCCUGAUGCAGCCAUGCCGCGUGUGUGAAGAAGGCCUUAGGGUUGUAAAGCACUUUCAGCGAGGAGGAAGGCGUUGCAGUUAAUAGCUGCAGCGAUUGACGUUACUCGCAGAAGAAGCACCGGCUAACUCCGUGCCAGCAGCCGCGGUAAUACGGAGGGUGCAAGCGUUAAUCGGAAUUACUGGGCGUAAAGCGCACGCAGGCGGUUUGUUAAGUCAGAUGUGAAAUCCCCGAGCUUAACUUGGGAACUGCAUUUGAAACUGGCAAGCUAGAGUCUUGUAGAGGGGGGUAGAAUUCCAGGUGUAGCGGUGAAAUGCGUAGAGAUCUGGAGGAAUACCGGUGGCGAAGGCGGCCCCCUGGACAAAGACUGACGCUCAG
rnacentral:rRNA from 1 species